rnacentral:rRNA from 1 species
GACGAACGCUGGCGGCGUGCCUAAUACAUGCAAGUCGAGCGAGACUCUUCGGAGUCUAGCGGCGGACGGGUGAGUAACACGUGGGCAACCUGCCUGUAAGACUGGGAUAACACCGGGAAACCGGUGCUAAUACCGGAUAAUCCUUUUUCUCUCAUGAGGAAAAGCUGAAAGUCGGUUUCGGCUGACACUUACAGAUGGGCCCGCGGCGCAUUAGCUAGUUGGUGAGGUAACGGCUCACCAAGGCGACGAUGCGUAGCCGACCUGAGAGGGUGAUCGGCCACACUGGGACUGGGACACGGCCCAGACUCCUACGGGAGGCAGCAGUAGGGAAUCUUCCACAAUGGACGAAAGUCUGAUGGAGAAACGCCGCGUGAGCGAUGAAGGCCUUCGGGUCGUAAAGCUCUGUUGUUAGGGAAGAACAAGUACCGGAGUAACUGCCGGUACCUUGACGGUACCUAACCAGAAAGCCACGGCUAACUACGUGCCAGCCGCCGCAGUAAUAC